rnacentral:rRNA from 1 species
UCGGUGAAAGCCGGCUAGUCCUGGAAACAGGACGCUUUGCACAGGUGCUGCAUGGCUGUCGUCAGCUCGUGUCGUGAGAUGUUGGGUUAAGUCCCGCAACGAGCGCAACCCUUGUGGUCAGUUACUAACCGGCUUAGCCGGAGGACUCUGGCCAGACUGCCCUGUCAAGCGGGGAGGAAGGUGGGGACGACGUCAAGUCAGUAUGGCCCUUAUGGCCAGGGCUGCACACGUACUACAAUGCCCGGUACAAUGUGAACCGAAACCGCGAGGUGGAGGAAAUCGCUCUUGAAAACCGGGCCCAGUUCGGAUUGGAGUCUGCAACUCGACUCCAUGAAGUCGGAAUCGCUAGUAAUGGCGUAUCAGCAACGACGCCGUGAAUACGUUCCCGGGUCUUGUACACACCGCCCGUCACAUCAUGGAAGUCUCCUGUACCCGAAGCACGUGCGCCAACCUUUCAGGAGGCAGCGUUCGAAGGUAUGGGAGGUAACUGGGAUGAAGUCGUAACAAGGUAACCAAGGGCGAA